rnacentral:rRNA from 1 species
AUUGAACGCUGGCGGCAGGCCUAACACAUGCAAGUCGAACGAGUGGCGGACGGGUGAGUAAUGUCUGGGAAACUGCCUGAUGGAGGGGGAUAACUACUGGAAACGGUAGCUAAUACCGCAUACCAUCGGAUGUGCCCAGAUGGGAUUAGCUCGUAGGUGGGGUAAAGGCUCACCUAGGCGACGAUCCCUAGCUGGUCUGAGAGGAUGACCAGCAAAAAUGGAAUGGAGAAAGGGGCCAGACUCCUAGGGGAGGCAGAAGUGGGGAAUAUUGCACAAGGGGCGCAAGCCUGAUGCAGCCAUGCCGGGGGGAUGAAGAAGGCCGUCGGGUUGGAAAGGACUUUCAGCGGGGAGGCGUUACCCGCAGAAGAAGCACCGGCUAACUCCGUGCCAGCAGCCGCGGUAAUUC